rnacentral:rRNA from 1 species
UACGUAGGGUGCGAGCGUUGUCCGGAAUUAUUGGGCGUAAAGAGCUUGUAGGCGGUCUGUUGCGUCUGCUGUGAAAAUCCGGGGCUCAACCCCGGACUUGCAGUGGGUACGGGCAGACUAGAGUGUGGUAGGGGAGACUGGAAUUCCUGGUGUAGCGGUGAAAUGCGCAGAUAUCAGGAGGAACACCGAUGGCGAAGGCAGGUCUCUGGGCCACUACUGACGCUGAGAAGCGAAAGCAUGGGGGGCGAACAGG